rnacentral:misc_RNA from 5 species
AACGCAUCUUGCGCUCCUUGGUAUUCCGAGGAGCAUGCCUGUUUGAGUGUCAUUAAAUAUCUCAAAACUCUUGUGCUUUUGUUGGCAUAGGACUUUUGGACAUUGGGAGUUGCCGGCUGCUGGUAAAGUAGUGGGCUCUUCUGAAAAGCAUUAGUUGAGGAGCUUUGCACUCUUAUUGGUGUGAUAAACUAUCUAUGCCAAGAGAUGCUUCAUGAUCCUCUGCCGUCUAACUGUCUUUAUAAGACAAUAUGAUAAACUUGACCUCAAAUCAGGUAGGACUACCCGCUGAACUUAA